CCAAUAUCUUUGAGCUUAUCAAUAAGGCCUUCACGAUUGUUUACAGCAUUCUUCGAUGGCUCCACUAACUUCACAUAUGAUUUAGACCCAACACAUAUGAUUCAGACUCAAAUUGCCUAAAAACUGUUACAUCAUCAUCAUCAUCCGUUGUAUUCUCAGCUUGUAAGCUUGGUUCUUUACUUUGAAACCCCAUUGCCUAAAAACUUACCAUUAAAAAUGGA
rnacentral:lncRNA from 1 species